UGCGUAGGCGGCCUUUUAAGUCAGUGGUGAAAUCCUGCCGCUUAACGGUAGAAUUGCCAUUGAUACUGAAAGGCUUGAGUACAGUUGAGGUAAGCGGAAUGUGUAGUGUAGCGGUGAAAUGCUUAGAUAUUACACAGAACACCAAUUGCGAAGGCAGCUUACUAAACUGUCACUGACGCUGAUGCACGAAAGCGUGGGGAGCGAACAGGAUUAGAUACCCUGGUAGUCCACGCCGUAAACGAUGCUCACUCGCUGUUUGCGAUACACAGCAAGCGGCCAAGCGAAAGCAUUAAGUGAGCCACCUGGGGAGUACGAUCGCAAGGUUGAA
rnacentral:rRNA from 1 species